AUUGAACGCUGGCGGCAGGCUUAACACAUGCAAGUCGAGCGGGGUGAUGGUGCUUGCACUAUCACUUAGCGGCGGACGGGUGAGUAAUGCUUAGGAAUCUGCCUAUUAGUGGGGGACAACAUCUCGAAAGGGAUGCUAAUACCGCAUACGUCCUACGGGAGAAAGCAGGGGAUCACUUGUGACCUUGCGCUAAUAGAUGAGCCUACGUCGGAUUAGCUAGUUGGUGGGGUAAAGGCCUACCAAGGCGACGAUCUGUAGCGGGUCUGAGAGGACGAUCCGCCACACUGGGACUGAGACACGGCCCAGACUCCUACGGGAGGCAGCAGUGGGGAAUAUUGGACAAUGGGGGGAACCCUGAUCCAGCCAUGCCGCGUGUGGGAAGAAGGCCUGAGGGGUGUAAAGCACUUUAAGCGAGGAGGAGGCUCUUUUGGUUAAUACCCAAGAUGAGUGGACGUUACUCGCAGAAUAAGCACCGGCUAACUCUGUGCCAGCAGCCGCCGUAA
rnacentral:rRNA from 1 species